GGCUGGGAGACGCCCUCCCGGCACCCAGGCCUGAGGUGGCGUAGAGACUACAAGUCCCAGGAGUCGUAGCGAGACCGCCUGGAGGGCGGGGGUUACGAAAGAGGAACCCUAAGGGCGCCGGGGCCUGGGACCAGGGACGCCUGGCUGCUUAGCACCCCUGCUGUGACCUCUGGUCGCAGGGCGCCUGGAUCUGGAUGUCUGUGGCUCGUGUCCCGCAGGGCCAGACUCUGGGCUCCAGAGCAUGGCGCUCCGGCGUGCUGUCCUCCUGGCCGGCCUCCUGGCGGAAGUCACUGGCAAAUCUUCAGAGGGCACGGGCCAGCAGCCUGAGUGUUGUGUGGAUGUGGAAGACGUCAAUGCUACCUGCCCAGGUACAAGCCUGUGUGGCCCAGGUCCCGCGUAUCUUUUCCUGGGCCUGCCAGGGAGUGACUGUCCUUACUCAUCGGUUGAGCCUGGGGAACCCAGGAAGCCAGGCCCUGCCAUCUGGUGUCACUGCGGAAGAUCUUCAUGUCACAGUGACCACUGUGUGUACAUUAAACAUCGUAUUGGCUGCUACCGGCACUGGAACGACGAUGGGAGCGUCAGCUGUGUCCGGUGCAGGAAUGGGACCAACAACGGCUCCGAGUGCCGAGGCCUCGCUGGCCGGGGCACCCAGCUCCCAGUGAACAGAAGCACAGCCAUGCCUGGGCGGCCAAAUUUUGCUGCUCUUCUAGAAUGUUGGCCCAGAGGAGACUGCAAGCAGUGCACGUGCACCUUACCCUGGUCCUCGCGGUUCUGAGGGGCACACAGGGCCCAUCUCCUGGGCCUCUGUCCGCCUGGCUCAGCUGCAAGGGCCCUGCUGUUGGAGUGGGGCCUGUGUCGGCAGUGGCCACCUCCUCUUCUGAGGUGACCAGGUCCUGCUGGCAGUUGUGUCCCUCUGGACCCUGGUCCUUCAGCAUAGGACAUGUUGGACCUGGGCCGAGGACCAAGGCUCUUUGCACGAGUCAGGACCAGAAGCAGUGGCCAUGUGCUGGCCCGGCCUGCUGAGGCUCACCGCACAGAGCAGCAUCUAAGGGUGGGGCCGGCUCAGGCAACUGGCCUACUGUGGCAUGAGGCUGAGUCUGGCAGUCGGGUCUGCAGGUGGUGCUGGUGAGUCCAGCUAGUGAGCUUGUUAAUGCUGUGGCAAAUCUGAGGCAGGACAUGCUUGCCCACUCAGCUGGCAUCCUGCUGGGCUCCAGUACAGCCACAAACGUGCCCUUUCCUGUAUCUCAGGGUCAGGAGGGCAUCCCCACAAGCAUGUAAGAGCACACUGCCCCAGCUGAUGGGUCAGCAGCUGUCCAGGGCUCUCAGCCAUCUGUCCACCAGCCUCUCCUGGCCCCACAGAGGCAGAGAUGACAGCGCUGGGAAGUUCCCUCCAGUGACAGUGAACGGGCACCCAAGUGCCGAGGCUGUAGGCUGAGUCCCAGCCGUUGGGUUGCAGGCUCUGACCCGGCAGGCCAGGGGGUGUGGGGCCCCCAUCUGCACCGAGUCUUGAGGAAGGAGACGGGGAACCCAGGUCCCACCUCCCCAUGAGAAGCCGAGUCAGCUCCCCAGAGCCUGCUGCCAGGCGGCCACCAGGCGGCAGCCGCCCUCCUCCUGGGGACGUUCCUCAUCAGCUCCGGCCUCAUCCUCUCCGUGGCUGGGUUCUUCUACCUCAAGCGUGCCAGUAAGCUCCCCAAGGUCUUCUAUGGAAGAAACAAAG